AACGAACGCUGGCGGCAUGCCUAACACAUGCAAGUCGAACGAACCCUUCGGGGUUAGUGGCGCACGGGUGCGUAACGCGUGGGAAUCUGCCCUUUGCUUCGGAAUAACUCAGGGAAACUUGUGCUAAUACCGGAUGAUGUCUUCGGACCAAAGAUUUAUCGGCAAGGGAUGAGCCCGCGUAGGAUUAGGUAGUUGGUGGGGUAAAGGCCUACCAAGCCGACGAUCCUUAGCUGGUCUGAGAGGAUGAUCAGCCACACUGGGACUGAGACACGGCCCAGACUCCUACGGGAGGCAGCAGUGGGGAAUAUUGGACAAUGGGCGCACGCCUGAUCCAGCAAUGCCGCGUGAGUGAUGAAGGCCCUCGGGUCGUAAAGCUCUUUUACCAGGGAUGAUAAUGACAGUACCUGGAGAAUAAGCUCCGGCUAACUCCGUG
rnacentral:rRNA from 1 species